UAUUUAGGUUCUCCGUGAUUUUAAAUGACCUGAUGGUUUGACUAAGAAUGAGGUUGAUGCUGCUGGAGAUGGUGAUGUUCUAGUUAUAUUGGACUUGCGCCCUGAUGAGUCAUUGUUUGAGGCUGGUGCUGCUCGAGAGAUUGUGAACAGGAUUCAGAAGUUACGGAAGAAAGUUGCUCUUGAACCAACCGACAUGGUGGAGGUUUACUUUGAAUCAUUAGAUGAUGAAAAAUCAAUCUCUCAGAGAG